AGAGCCGUGUGCGCGAGGACUCGUCUCGCGCUCUGCUCGUCGUGGCCCCUGACUGUGCGCGUGUGAUGCCCUCAAUUUGGCAUCCGAUUCAUUCCAGCAGCGCCUCUCUCUGCGCCAUAUCAGCACUAUCGACCAAAGACGAGAUGGAGAGAACUAAUAAGGAGUGGAGGGGAACAGAGAAACGCAGCCUCAGCGAGCCCAGCUCCCUGUUUUAUGACCCGCCGGCAAGAGAAGCCGGCGCACGGCAUCAUAGGCAUCCGGUGACGACGUCCGCGAGAAGAUGAAGAUGAACCGGCCUUUCUGAUCAAAGCACCCGUCUAUAAAGCUCAAGGCUGGCCUUCCCAGAGCGAAUCACAGCCGCUGGACGUCUGGCCACGCCCACCCACAGCAGGUGUUUCCCAUCAGCUGUGAAAGCGUGUUUGUGAAGUCAAAUGCUGCAAAAAAGAAAACAACAAAGAAAAAAACAGAAACAAACUCCUCUACUGGCAAUGGGAAAACCUGCAGGUGUGAGCACUGCAGUCGCUGGCAGACUGUUGAUUAUUGAUCCUCUGAGAGCAGGUGACGCAGACAGACUGUUUGUAAGGGUUUACAUGUGGACGCCGUGCAGCCACAGACCUACAGACGGUCGGUUUCCGGCGGCUCCUCUGGAAGCUGGUGUGGUUCUGUAGCUUGGCUGGGCUGCAGAGCAUCUGUCUUUGUGUCUUUGUGUCUGGGGUAAACCCCUGCUGCUGCCGAGCUUUUGUCUCCUCCUGAUCGGCUCUAAUGCUGCAGCACUAAUUGUUUAACACAGAAACACGUCUUUUCUCCCUUUAAUGUUUUUGUUUUUAUUGUGGUCGAUGCAUUUAUUACAAAACCUUUGUGGAUUUUGAACACGCGCCUCCCUCGCCCCUUCCUCCUCCUCCUCCUCCUACCCUCUCCUUCACCAUCCUCCCUUCACUCUCUCCCUCUUUCUGUCUAAAAUGCCCGCCCUGAGAAAGGAGGGGGGGAGAAAAUGUGAACAUCAGCAGAAAAACGGAUGUCUGGCAAGUUGCAUCAUUUUCAGAAACAAACAGUGUGAA